GUGCUUGCUUCAGCAGCACGUCUGCUAAAAUUGGACCUAUAUAAAGAAGGCAUGGCCCCUGUGCAAGGAUGACACCCAAAUUUGGAAGAAUUCCGCAUUUUA
ensembl:snRNA U6 U6 spliceosomal RNA